GAGAGGCAGAGGGGCUUCACUAACAGACACAACCGCUGGCCGAGAACUGGAAGGAGUUCCAGAUACCAUCAAGAUGCCCAAGAUUGAAAAAACCGUGCUCCAAAAUGAUCCCAAUGAAGCAGAGAGUGGAGCCCGUAAGCCUAAAACACCAGGGCAGAGUCAGGAAAACAAGAGCUUCUGUUUAGAUGACCACUCUCCUGAGAGUCAACAUGAAGUUCUUUCUGUCACAGAUCUGAUAGAGACAGUUAACGAAGUUUCUAAGCUUAGCAUUGCUCAUGAAAUCGUGGUAAAUCAAGAUUUUUAUGUGGAAGAGAGUGUAUUACCUCCCAACAGUCUUGAAGGCAGGAUUAUGGAGAUGAUGUACAAUGCUUUUUGGGACCAUCUGGAAGACCAGCUAUCAAGUAUUCCCCCCGACUUCACUUGUGCUCUUGAACUUCUAAAAGAAGUUAAGGAGAUCUUGCUAUCGCUGCUAUUACCACGCCAGAACUACCUGAGAAAUGAGAUUGAAGAAGCCCUGGACAUGGAUCUCCUCAAGCAAGAAGCAGAGCAUGAGGCCCUGGAUGUUCCUCAUCUCUCUAACUACAUUCUCAAUUUGAUGAUCCGGCUAUGUGCACCAGUCCGAGAUGAAGCAGUGCAAAAACUAGAGAGCAUAACAGAUCCUGUGCAGUUACUGAAGGGUAUCUUUCAUGUUCUGGGCCUGAUGAAAAUGGACAUGGUGAACUAUACUAUCCAGAACCUUCGACCCUACCUGCAGGAACAUUCUGUCCAGUAUGAAAGAACUAAAUUCCAGCAACUCCUCAACAAGCAGCCCAGUCUCCUCGAUUGCACCACAAAAUGGCUAAUCAAAACGGCUAUAGAUCUCACUACACCAUCUCCAAGUUCUCCUGACUCUCCCAGAUCCUCCAGGAUGGCCUGUUCAUCUCCAAAUUGGGCAGCUAACAACUCAGAGCUUCCCAGUUCCACCAUGGUGCUGUAUGAGGGUUACGUGAACCUUCUUCUCUGGGAUUCUGACAUUGAAGAGUUUCCCGAGACUCUGCUGAUGGACAGAAUGCGGCUGCGGGAGAUAGAAUCCCAGUUGAACCAAUUAACGAUACUGGCCUCAGUCUUGUUAGUGGCCAGAAGUUUCUCUGGUAACAUUUUAUUCAGCACACCUAAGUUUUUGGAUAAACUAAAAUAUAUAACCAUGGCCCUGAUGGAAGAAUUUAACCCCAGGCCUGAAGAGGCUAUGGUGAGUGUGAGUGAACAAGUGUCUUAUGAAAUCCAUCAAGGCCUCAAAAACAUGGGCCUCACUGCCCUGAGUAGUGAAAAGACAGCAUCUCUUAUAGGCCAACUUCAGAACAUUGCCGAGAAAGAGAACUGUGUUCGUAGCAUUAUUGAUCAGCGGAGCCGCUUUUUUCUCAAAUGCUGUUUGGUUCAUGGUAUGCAGGAGUCUCUGCUGGACUUCCCUGGAGGCCUUAUUCUCAUCAAGGAAGAGUUGGCAGAACUGGGUUGGAAGUUUGUCAAUCUGAUGCAUCACAAUCAGCAGGUGUUUAGCCCCUACUACGAAGAAAUCCUGAAAGAUAUCAUCCCUCCAGCUCAAGCGCAAGAGAAAGAAGUGGAGUCUAUCUGAUAGUGCUGGACCCCGACUAUGGCAACAGGGACCCAGGAGAGGGCUCAGCAUGUUCCUGGGAUGACAUCACCUGUGGCCAGCAGAUCAGCCUCUUCCUCAAUAAAGCCCAGACACGGCUGCAGGGUUCAAGCAUGUAAACACCAACUGGCUCAGCCUCCUUCAUAAUAAACUGAGCUGCAAGAAAACCUCGAUUCCUUCUGUGUUGCAACUGAAUCCAGAUUCCGUUAAACGCUUAAACCCUACCAUGUAAGAAGCCAGUGAGCCCUCAGUUUUCCCUUCACUGGCUGAUCAUUCGUCAGUAUUCUGCUUGAGCAUCAGAGCAUCAGGUGCUAGCGUUACUUUCUCCAAUGGAAAAUCAUUUCCUUGAGGGCUAUGAAAACUUUUGGGGGAAUUUUCCAGAGUAUGAGUUCUGGAAGUGUAAGGGCUUCUGGAAGUCAGAAAUACACUGAGAUCAAGAGAGGCCAGAGAACCCCAUUUCCAGUACCAAAUUUUCCAUAUAAUUUAAAAAGAUGCAGUAACAGUAAGAGUCCCCACCUCCUGUUCUAGUGUGGGGCACGAAGCAGUAUGAAAACCGGGGACUGGAUGAAAGUCUGUAUUGUCUGCUAACAGGCAUUCAGCUGAGGACAGUUCUCAGCCUCAGCAGGAUUCCCCCCCACUGCCCCCUCUCUCUCCCCUGGGGGUCAGGUUUGGAAUAUCUGAGACUGACAGCAAAUCCAAGCCCUUAGGUCACUGACAUUUGUAUCAAGUUCAUCUCUGUUCCCAUUCCAUAGCUGAAUCAACCUCCUGUUUUCACAUUUUUAGGUUUAGAAUACCCCUUUCUUUUUGACAGAAGUGAUGUGGGUAUUCAAGGGUAGGGUAACCAUCAUGCUUCUUUCCACUUGCAGACUGAGACUCUAACUCCCAGGUUAUGAUUUUCAGCUCAGUUGGCAUCAAAAAUGACAGAUGUUCUAGGUCCACAAGGAUCUGGGCUUGUUUUCUGAAAUUGUAGAUAUUCAUCCUAUCAUUUUCAGGCCAACUGCAACAGACCAACAAUCUAGGAACUUAGGGAAGAAAGUCAGUUUUGAUUUGGACUUGUUUGAGAUCGACGGGAGAAAAUAGAAAUUCACUUGUGGGAUAUUACAACUGGAUGGAAAAAAUGUCUUCACCAUUUCACGGGAUGGAAAGAGCUGAGUAUGAUUUAUAUAAUCCAAGAAUGAUAACAGAUGGGAUUUGAGUUCCAUUACACUGAAGUUAAUGAAGAACACCUAGAGGUCACAGAACUCCGACCUUUGAAUUGAUCAGUGUCACAGAGCAUCCUCACGCAGCGGAGGCGCCAGGAGCCAUGAGGUGUGCCUUGGGCUUUAGGAUAGGACAAUGGUAAUAGUACCUAUUGUGAAAGAUCUGAUAAGGAUUGAAGCAGAUCAACUGACAAGUUCUCUCCACAGAGAAGCAGAUUGGUGACUUCAUAUCUGUCCCUCAGGUUUCCUUCCCCAUGUUCGUACCUGGGCUUGUCCCUACACACCAUGGCUUCUCGGGAACUAGCCACAUAAUAAUUACUGUUGAG